rnacentral:rRNA from 1 species
UGAGUACGAGAUGCUACGGCAUCGAAGCAGUCUAUGUCAUACUUCCAAGAAAAGCUUGCACUGUCAUAAACAAAGAAUGCCUGUACCAUAACCGACACAGGUGGGUAGGUAGAGUAUACUAAGGGGCGCGAGAUAACUCUCUCUAAGGAACUCGGCAAAAUGACUCCGUAACUUCGGGAGAAGGAGUGCCUUAUUUCUAAGGUUGCAAUAACAAGAUCCAAGCAACUGUUUACCAAAAACACAGGUCUCCGCUAAGUCGUAAGACGAUGUAUGGGGGCUGACGCCUGCCCAGUGCCAGAAGGUUAAAGAAGUUGGUUAGCAUUAGCGAAGCUGAUAACUGAAGCCCUGGUGAACGGCGGCCGUAACAAUAACGGUCCUAAGGUAGCGAAAUUCCUUGUCGGGUAAGUUCCGACCCGCACGAAAGGCGUAAUGAUUUGGAUACUGUCUCGGAGAGGGGCUCGGUGAAAUAGACUUGUCUGUGAAGAUGCGGACUACCUGCACCUGGACAGAAAGACCCUAUGAAGCUUUACUGUAACUUGAGAUUGAAAUUGGACUUUAUUUGCGCAGUAUAGGUGGGAGGCGUUGAGAAUAAUCUUGCGGGAUUGUUGGAGCCAUCAGUGAGAUACCACUCUUGUAAUGUUAGAUUUCUAACUUUGUAUCAUUAUCUGGUCAAAGAACAGUUUCAGGCGGGCAGUUUGACUGGGGCGGUCGCCUCCCAAAGGGUAACGGAGGCGCACAAAGGUUUCCUCUGAACGGGUAGAAAUCGUAUCUAGAGUGUAAAGGCAUAAGGAAGCUUGACUGUGAGACCUACAAGUCGAGCAGGGACGAAAGUCGGUCUUAGUGAUCUGACGGUGCUGAGUGGAAAGGCCGUCACUCAACGGAUAAAAGUUACUCUAAGGAUAACAGGCUGAUCUCCCCCAAGAGUUCACAUAGACGGGGAGGUUUGGCACCUCGAUGUCGGCUCAUCGCAUCCUGGGGCGGUAGUCCGUCCCAAGGGUUGGGCUGUUCGCCCAUGAAAGCGGUACGCGAGCUGGGUUCAGAACGUCGUGAGACAGUUCGGUCCAUAUCCGGUGUAGGCGUUAGAAUAUUGAGAGGAGCCUUCUCUAGUACGAGAGGACCGAGAAGGACUUACCUCUGGUGUACCAGUUAUCGUGCCAACGGUAAACGCUGGGUAGCUAUGUAUGGAGUGGAUAACCGCUGAAAGCAUCUAAGUGGGAAGCCCACCUCAAGAUAAGUAUUCUCAUC